rnacentral:rRNA from 1 species
UUGGAGGGCAAGUCUGGUGCCAGCAGCCGCGGUAAUUCCAGCUCCAAUAGCGUAUAUUAAAGUUGUUGCAGUUAAAAAGCUCGUAGUUGAAUUUCGAGACCGGCUUAUUGGUCGUGCUAUUGUACGUACUGGUAUAAUCGGUUUCUCCUUUCUGACGAACUAUAAUGCAUUAAUUUGGUGUUUUAGGGAAUCAGGACUGUUACUUUGAAAAAAUUAGAGUGUUUAAAGCAGGCUCACGCUUGAAUACAUUAGCAUGGAAUAACGGAAUAGGACGUUUGAUUCUAUUUUGUUGGUUUCUAGGAUCGACGUAAUGAUUAAUAGGGAUAGUUGGGGGUAUUAGUAUUCAAUUGUCAGAGGUGAAAUUCUUGGAUUUAUUGAAGACUAACUACUGCGAAAGCAUUUGCCAAGGAUGUUUUCAUUAAUCAAGAACGAAAGUUAGGGGAUCGAAGACGAUCAGAUACCGUCGUAGUCUUAACCAUAAACUAUGCCGACUAGGGAUCUGAUGAUGUUAAUUUUUUAAUGACUCAUUCGGCGCCUUACGGGAAAC